CGGCCGCAGCCUGGGCUCCCGCGGCGGCGGCGGAGGUCAGCGCCGACGGCAGCCCGCACCUGACGGCGUGACGGCCACAUUGACUCUUCGUGCACCGGGCCCAGUCUAUCAGAUCUUCUGCACUGUGUAUCUGCACAGGUGAGUGCUUGAUCCUUCAUGUUGCGCUGGGUUGACUACUAGUAAGGUCAGUCCUUUCAUUGUUUAACACAUUAGAAACAAUCAGCACAUAAGAGGAACGCACGUAAGAGCAGAAUAUACUUACCUGCUUUCCUGUGUGUUUCUGUUGGGAGAGUUCUUUAUGAGCCUGUCCAAAUGACAUUUGAAGGAGAAACACCGAAUAUCUUUAUUCCGCUGUUUCUAUGUGGGGAGAGUGUGUUUUAAGCGUACCUGCUAGAUAAGUUGAGCUAAUCAUUAACUUUUAACCUCGAGCCUAGAAAAUGGUUUUUUACUUCUUUUUUAUGCUAAAUACUUUUGAGUGGAGUACUGUGUACCUGUUACUAAACCGGCAUCAUGUAGGAGAAAAGAC
rnacentral:lncRNA from 1 species